UUUCUACUUGGUUUCCAUAUGCAUGCAGUGUCAUAAGUCAAAGAAGGUGGUUUUAUCGUAUUAUCUUUCGUGAUCUCAGUUUGAGGGGUCACAGAUCGCCACCUGGGGUAUCCUUCUGCAUUGUGAGAUAAUGUCCUGAGAACUGAGCAUGAAAGGGAUACGCCAAUGUUGUUGACAUAAUGCACUUACCCCGCAGCUUGACCUCUUGUUUUGGUUUCUAGAUGCUACUGUCACUCACAGUGUCCAUGAAGAGAAGAUGGAAGAUGGCCAACGAGCACCUGAUAACGUCUUGUCAGCUAUUCCACCAGGGCUUAUUAAUAUGGCAGGAGCUGGUAUUCCAGCCAUGAGUACCCAUGAUCUGUAUGCUACCAUCACUCACAAUGUCGGUGAAAAGACUAUAAAAACAGCCAACCAACACCUGAUACCUUGAGGUCCACUGUUCCACCAGGGCUUACUAAUUUGGCAGGAGCUGGUAUUGCGGCCAUGAAUCCCAGGGAUCUGUAUGCUACCAUCACUCACAAUGUCCGUGAAGAGAAGAUACAAAAAAGCCGACCAGCACCUCAUAACUUCUUGUCAGCUGUUGCAUCAGGGCUUAUUAUAAUGGCAGGAGCUGGUAUUACAGCUAUGAGUACCAUGGAUCUGUACAUGUUGGCUUUUAAGUGGUACUGUCCUAACUUUUUUCCAUAUGCAUUCAUAGUGUCACCAAGGGAAGAAGGGGGCUUUGUAGUAUUAUCGUUUCUCCCCUUAAUUUUAGGGCUGAUUGCCACCUGGUAUAUCCUAGUUCUUUAAGGGAUAAUUUCCUAGAAACUGAGCAUCAGUGGGAUAUACCUGUGGGGCUGUCAUUAUGCAUUUACCUCACAGCUCAAUCUCUUCAGUUUAUUUCCAGAUGCCACUGCCACUCACAAUGUCCAUGAGGAGAAGAUGAAAAAUGGCCAACAAGCAUCUGAUAACUCCUUGUCAAUGGUUCCACCAGGGCGUAUUAAUCUGUCAGGAGCUGGUAUUUCAUCCAGGAGUACCAGGGAUCUGUGCAUGUUCGUGUAUUGGUUGUACUGUCCAACUUGGCCUCUAUAUGCAUGCAUAGUGUCAUGCAGAGGAGAAGGCAGUUUUGUUGUAUUGUCUUUCUUGAGUUUAGGUUGAGGGGUCUCGGACUGCCACCGGCAUAUCCUCCUGCUUUAUGAGAUAAGUUUCUAGAAACUGAGCAUUAGAAGGAUAUACCUGUGGGGGCGACAUAAUGCACUUACCUCACAGCUUAACUUUUUCAUUUGGAUUCCAGAUGCUACUGUCAUUCACGACAUCCCGGAGGAG
rnacentral:lncRNA from 1 species